rnacentral:rRNA from 1 species
GUCUAUAUGAAGGUGUAUAAAGUCUGGCCUGCCCACUGACUYUGCAGCGUUUAAAGGGCCGCGGUAUUUUGACCGUGCGAAGGUAGCAUAAUCAUUAGUCUUUUAAUUGAAGGCUCGUAUGAAUGGCCGGACAAAAAGUGAGCUGUCUCCAAUUGUUAAAAUUGAAUUUGACCUUUAAGUGAAAAGGCUUAAAUAACACAAAGUGACGAUAAGACCCUAUAAAGCUUUAAAGCAAAUUAUUUUUCAGAAUAAAUUAUUAAACCCAUAUAACUUAAUUUAAAAGAAAGCUUUUUUGUUGGGGCGACAAAAAUAUAAAUAAGUAACUGUUUUUGUAAACAAAAAACAGUGAUAACUGGAGUAUAAAAUGAUCCUUUACUAAAGACUAAAAGGUUAAGUUACUUUAGGGAUAACAGCGUAAUCUUCUUUGAGAGUCCAAAUCGACAAGAAGGGUUGCGACCUCGAUGUUGAAUUAAGGUUCCUUUAUGGUGUAGCAGUUAUAAUAGGAGGUCUGUUCGACCUUUAAAUCCUU